AAGUUGAAGCAUGAGCAAGAAAUUUAAAGGGUUGCAGGUACAACUCUCAUACUUUCUGAAAUUUAAACUGUUUAAAUUUGAUUAGCCAAAUCUCUUCAUUGAAUUCUCUACAAAUUAGGGAACAUAUAUCCCCAUGAUUUUAAGCUAUAACGUGGAAAAUGUUGAAGUAAUCGACUCAAUUAGCUAUUGUAUAAGCACUUUCCACACUCCCGCACCAACCGAACAAACACAAAACUCAAUUAGAUGCCAUAACUAAAUAAUCACAAACACAUUUACGCCAACAAGAGCUCUUUUCAGUUGGAGCCUGGUUGCCGACCAAGAAACGUGGCAGAAAAGCCAAAAACAAAAAAAAAAUAUACAGAAACCGGGUCAACAACAGGAACAACAUGAGCAACAAUUUUGAAACAAUGAAAUGACGACAACGACAGAAGCGGCAAGGCAUGCCUGGAAAAUUGCUUGAAAUGCUCAGAAGCCAGAAAGAAAGGGGCGGCGGAGCGGUGGGAAAAGUGGGUGGACUCCGCCGAGGGGAGAACAGCAUUCCAACAUGUGACGCACGUGACAAAACUUGUCAAGUGACUUUACUUCACUUUGACUGCGAAUCCCGGCUCUGUUGUCCGUAAACAAGAAGACGGAAUCCCGGCUGAGAAGAAAAAUAGGUUUGUGCGCAUUGCCCCACACAAAAUGCUUAAGAAAACUCUGCUCUCGGUAAAACAAUAAAGGAGAGGCAAAAAGGAAAAAUCAGUCGCGGGCUUUUCCGACUUGUUGCGCCUUUGGCUAAAUUAUGACAUCGAGAGUUUGAGGGAAUGAGAAGCCCUUAGAGGGGAACAGAAGUACCAUUUUAAGAGGAGCAAUGAAGUGGAAUUCCAUUGGACUUACAGAUAUUCGUGAGCAGCUUUAACCGUGCGUUUUGUUAGAAAUAAGUUAGUUUAACUUUUAGCUUGGAGAAAUCUAAUUAAAGUGUGCCAUGAAAAAUGAACAAAGAAGGCCAUGAAAUUAAAGUCCAAAAUUUAAAACCUGGAUUACCCGGAGAGCGGGGGUAAGACUCAUUCUCGUUUCGGCCCUCUAACCAAAAACAUCUUUUUGGACAACUACCAAAUCUUUUUUUGGAAUUAAAAUCCUACUUCCGUAAACAGGCUAAUAACAAGAUGUGCAAUCCAGGAAUAUGCUCUAUGCCCGGCACUUGCUGUGGACCGACUGGUGGUCUGGGUCCCUGUAUGCUCUGCGGACCCUAUAAUGGCCAGUGGUUCCGGUCGAUCAACCACUGUUGUGGUCCCUGUGGGCCAUAUGGCUGCUGCUCCUGCUACGGACCCUACGGCGGACAUUGUUAGCCUGGUUAGAAGGAAAGUAGGAUUUAAUCAUCCACAAUUCAAGAAAACUCUGAACAAUCCAACAAUGAAACCUUCCAGUGAGGAUGCAAGUUGACGAAGUGGAUCCAAAAAUUUGUUUUGUGAUAAAAUUUGUUAGAAUACAUCUCGGUGAAACCUAGCGAGGGAAUCUCAGUUUAAAGCAAUACCAAUAAUGUAAAAAUAAAUUCUUCGUAUAUUUUUUGCAAAA